UACGGAGGGUGCAAACGUUGCUCGGAAUCAUUGGGCGUAAAGCGCACGUAGGCGGCUUGGCAAGUCGGUUGUGAAAGCCCGGGGCCCAACCCCGGAACUGCAUCUGAAACUGCCUGGCUAGAGUCCCGGAGAGGAAGGCAGAAUUCCCGGUGUAGGGGUGAAAUCCGUAGAUAUCGGGAGGAAUACCAGCGGCGAAGGCGGCCUUCUGGACGGUGGACUGACGCUGAGACGCGAAAGCGUGGGGAGCAAACAGG
rnacentral:rRNA from 1 species